CAGUCGCCGCGGUAGUACGUAGGUGGCAAGCGUUGUCCGGAAUUAUUGGGCGUAAAGGGCUCGCAGGCGGUUUCUUAAGUCUGAUGUGAAAGCCCCCGGCUCAACCGGGGAGGGUCAUUGGAAACUGGGAAACUUGAGUGCAGAAGAGGAGAGUGGAAUUCCACGUGUAGCGGUGAAAUGCGUAGAGAUGUGGAGGAACACCAGUGGCGAAGGCGACUCUCUGGUCUGUAACUGACGCUGAGGAGCGAAAGCGUGGGGAGCGAACAGGAUUAGAUACCCCAGUAGUCCCUGUCUCUUAUAC
rnacentral:rRNA from 1 species